rnacentral:lncRNA from 1 species
UUCUCAACAUGUUUUUUGUCCAAGAAUAAAUCUGUUUUAAAAAAAACAUGUAAUAUCCACGCAUAGAAGUUUGUUGUCUCAGUUUAAUGGACAGAGGAAGCAAUUACACAUGUUUGGUCCUCACUUUGUAGAUGUGGGACAUAUAGACAUCUAAUAUUAGCUCAUAAUAAUACUGUUUUACAUCUAUGUAUCCUCAUGUACCUGUACCCAUUACUAGUCUUUUUAAUAGUCUUCUGUGUUUGAUGAUGGUAGCAACAUCUCUAAUCCCAACACUUACACAUUCAGGAGCUCUCUUCACAAAAGCUCCUUCGUCACAAUCAAACAAUGAAAUCAAUCGACUUUAUCACCAUGGAUCCAGAUGGAGCAAAUUUUUGUUUUUGUUUUGUUUUGUUUUUUUGUUUUUUUUGUGGAUAGAGAAAACGUUGAAUCAAGGAAUGCCCAUGCACAAGGAUGAGAUGCAUAAAUGCAUAAUAGUUCACUGUUUUUAUAAAGUUAAAUGCUAAAAUUUUACUAUAAUAUAACAUUUAACUAUAGUGGUAAUAAAUAUGUCGCCUCAUAGAAUAAUGACGUCGAUUCCAAUACAUCCUAUGAGGCGAAUAUGAACACAACACCAGAUUAUAAUCCAAAAAGGAAGAACUAUCCUGAAGUUAUAGGGAUCAUGAAGACUGAAACAAAUCAGUUACAUACCUGAAUAGUGGAUCCAGAGCAAAGGUUCUGAAUUUUGGAGUUGCAACAACUUAUAUGAAGGGUCUUGAGAUGAAAAUGAUCAUCAAGGCUUUGAGCAGGCAAUUAACUAAUCAUCAGGCUUGCACUGAAUAUAUAAUAUAAUCUUACAACUUUC